rnacentral:misc_RNA from 1 species
CCGAGUUUACAACUCCCAAACCCCAGUGUGAACCUCUACCUCAUCGUUGCCUCGGCGGGAUCGCCCCGGCGCGCCCCCCUCCAGGGGCGUCCGGACCACACGGCGCCCGCCGCAGGACCCCCUAAACUCUCUCGCCUCUCCGGCGUCGUUUUCUUCUGAGUAGACCUUUUUCCCCGCGAGAGCGGGGUGAAAAUGAAUCA